UAAAUAAAGUACAGUAGUCCUUUUUAUAAUAACCUUAUAAUUAGAAUCGGGUAAAUUGCAAGAAAAUCUUAAAAAAAAAAACUUUUGGAAAUAAAAUAAGACAAUUUGCAGCGAAGUUUAAUCCAGCAUAUAAAUUAUCAAAAAAUUUAAGUAUUUAAGAUAAAGGAUUAAAAACGUUCAACGACUAGAAAGUGAGUAAUGCUAACAAUAAUCUUUCCACGAAAACCCGACAAUUAUGUAAAAUUUAUAUAAUUGAUGACAUAGUCUGAACCUAAUAGUGAUAUUAGG
rnacentral:ncRNA from 1 species